ensembl:lncRNA
AUUGGGUAUAAAUCAGCCUAAAACACUCUUAUUGUGAGCCUGGCUUAAGUUACCUUUUCUGCUUCUUCAAUAGAGGUCACAAACUCCUGCUUCAGAUCACUCAGGUGCUCAAUGAGAUCCUCAUUAACAAAGGUCUUCUCCUUCAGUGUAUCUAGCAGAGAUCCCACUUUCUCCCAGAACUUCUGAAGCUGAACCAGAAUCUGCUGGAUUUGAGAAAGACACUUCUGGACUUUCUACAAGGUGGACGGGACUGGGAAUCACACCUGGACAAACAACAGAUAUUGAGUUAUGAGAGAUCACUGUGAACCUUCAGACCCUUUUAACACAAAGAGCUGUUAAAACAGUUUGAAAAUUAACAAUUCUUUUUCCAGAAAGUAUGAUGCUGAUACUUUUUUUUUUUUUUUUGCAUUUCAUUGCAUUUACAUUUUUUUUACAUAUUGGGUUGUGACUCCAAAAUAACAUAUUAGCUGGCUUAAUUUGUUUAGUAACCAGAUGAUUUAUUUUGUCAUAGUCAUGCUUGAUGUUAAAACAUUUUUCAAAGCUUUUACUUUCAUUGUUUAUUCUAUUGUUAUGCUUGUAUUUUAUCUUUCAUGCGCAAAUUACUGCAUGGUCUGUUUUAUUUGUCACUAAAAUGUAAACAUUUUAAUUGUUAUAGUAAGCGUAUAGCAUAUGUUCAAUGCUUUGAAAUAUGCUGUGCCUGCACUAGGACUCUAAUUGAAUUUAUUGAUUGAUUUCUAACAUAUAACUAAGUAAGCAGCUCCUGUAUAUUAUUGGAUUAUAGUGCCUAUUUAAGUAAGGGAUAAUGUACAUCCAGCCGGUUGUUAUCUCAGAAUAAACCCCGACAGGGUGAUCAGGACCCCAACACGAAGUAAACAAUAAACAAUAUUAUUUAGCUAUUUAAAAAAUAAAUAAAUAAAUUCAUUGACCAGUACUGCACUUAUAGUAUGUAGAUAAGCUUAACAAAAUAGAAUUAACAGAAACUAUAAAUUUAUUCUGAGAUAACAACCGGCUGGAUGUGCAUUAUUUUGCUUAUUACAUGGCUAAAAAGAUUUGUUUUUACCAUAUAUGUUGAAAUUAAUACUGAAGUCUUCCACUGUAAAGUGUUUCAGACACAAGAUCACAUCAGACAGUCAAUGAUAUCGGAGUGACUCGUUAAGCAUAUAAGUAGUACCGGUCAAGAUAACUCGUAGUACCCGGAUGAGCAGUGUGUUAUUCAAUUUAGCAGUUGUUAUCUGGGAAUAACAUAUCGCUAGAUGGUGCGAUUGACCAAUCAGAAUCAAGUUGCAUCACCUUGGAAUGUCACAACUAACCAAUCAAGUGUUCCAGAGAGCUUAUUAUCUAAAGUCGAUCUGUGUCCAAAAUUGCUCUCUCUUUCUAUGUAGUUGAGUGCACUAUAUCAUGAAUAAAUGACAUGAAAUGAACGAAUUCAGAGGAAAAUCUAGAAGAAAAUCUUUAGUCUGGGGCACAUAGAAAAACUCACCCAGCCGUAUUUUGCAAUUAGCCAGCUGCAUCUGAAGAUCAGUCAGUUUGACUUGGAUUGAGGACUCUUGUUUUUGCAGACUGCUCUUUUCAGACAUGAGACGGGACAGUUCGGCGUUGAGAGCUUGAGUUUGAGCAGCAUCACCAGGGCCAGUCACAGCAUCGUCAAUAAAGCUAACAAUGGCUCCAGUAAAUGGCACCAAGGCAGUCAGGAUACCAAAGCCAAUGUUUUUGCUAGAAGCAUCUCGGAUGCGAUUCUGCAGCUCAUUGUUUUUUUCUUCAAUUGUUUUCUGUAUUUCAUUUAUGUUUUCAGCCCUUUUUCUCAGCUCCUCCUCAAGGUUGGCCACGGCCUCCUCCAGACUCUUAAUUUCCUCCGUUGUUUGAGUUAGUUGUUUUUCUGUCUCUGUCUUUUCUUGAAACACAUCACUGGUGCAUGACGCUACACUUUGGUUAUGUUCAUCAUACCUGAAUAUGAUGUAUUUCAGAUAGACAGAGUACAGUGAAUGGACUUGAUACAGUAGAUCACUAUCAUCUCAAGUUUGUUAGAUUAAAACAAUUGAAACAAGGUAUUAUGCAUUAAUUUUACUAUUCAAUGAAAUGUAUCUUUCUGAAGGGAUGUUUCGUUAUUUACAAAUACUGAUUAAGAGAUUUGCUGUGAAAUACUAAACUUCCCCAUGAUAAGAUGUUGAUGAUGUCUUCACCUCUUCACAAUGUCUUCCACAGCUAUAAUGAUGUCAUUAAUCUUUGCUCUGAUUUCCCCCAGGUACUUCACAGCCAGAGAGGGUUCAUUGUGUUCAACAGCCAUCAACAGCGACGGAAGCAGGGAGAAAACCAGGGUGGAACUCGCGAUAACACACUACAAUGAAAUAUAAUUUAUCCACAAGGGCAGUUUAAUACAAUAGUAGCUACAUCACAAGUUUGUUGGCAUUAGUAUCAAUGUGGUAAAAACAUUGACAAUUUGAAUUUUGUGGGAUUUGUUUGAAUUUCAAUCCAAAGAGUGAUGGAACAAAAAAGGAGAAGUUUUCAGACUUAAGCUAUUUUUUCAAACAACAAUAAUUCACAGUGAUCAUAUCUGUCACUACACUUUGAAUCUUCGAAAGCUAUAUGAUUUUUUGCUUUCUUGUAUAAUGUAUUGUUUGUUUAUUUUUGCUUAUUAUUAGUUUUGCUUCUUUGUGAGAGAUGCCUUAUACUGUAUGAAUAAUAACGUAGUUAUUGGUUGGACUGCUGGACCAUCAAUACCCAGAAGUGUGUGCAUGUAUGUUCAAGGACACAGAGAUCUGUGGUUCAACCAAAAUGUUGAAUUUAAAAAGAUUACUCAUGUCCCAGUAUUAUUUUAUGACAUUUAUGUAAGAAGACAACACAAGUUAAUGUUAAAAAAGGCCAGCAAAUAUGGAAUUUUACCCAAUAAAAUAUUAAAUAACGUUAAAAAAAAACACAAGGCAACCAACUGCAUUCAGGGAAACUCUUUCUUGUAUCGCUUUAAUGGGCAGUCUUAACGGAAACUCAUUCAACUUCCUACAGGGAGAGAAAGAUAAAAAUAUGACAACUAGCAUCUGGUUAUGAUCGCUAUUAAAGUGUUUCUCAUGUUAUCUAACUGCAAAUAUAGCAUAACUGCCUGUUAUCUAAAACUAAACAUUAACUAUAACGCGUUUAAUGAAAAUAAAAAUUGUGACAUUUGGAACACUAGUUUUGCAUCAAAAUGCAUUUUCUAGAUAUUACCACCCAACAGUUUUGUUACACCCCUGUCUUACCUCCAGCAGAACCACCACAGAGGAUUUAAACAGUAGCUGUGUUUCGAGAGCUCUUUCUCUGAUCAGACGCUCCAGCUUUGGGAAACCACCCAGACACAGGUAAGAGAGAUGAUAGAGAAGAGCCGUUCGCUCCGCAGCUGGAAGAAGCUCCCGGAUGAACUCUGGAGUCCAUGAGGAAACACUGCUGGAUACAAUCUCUGAGACACCAGACCAAACAUUAGUGAUUGAUAACAACCUCCGGGGUUCAGUCAACGGUGCAUAGGUCAGGCAUACUGUAAAUUAAAUAUAUUAAAUAUAUUCUACAUCUGACUGAUUAUAAUCAUAAAGGUAUGCUAAACAGUGUCUUUUAUCCCUGCAUGGCUGUGUCAUGUUAAAAGAAGUUUUAAACUUUUAAAAAUGGCCCCUGAGAUCCUGCAUUCUUUUCCAGUCCGCUGCAUCUCAGCGUUGGAAUAAUAUGUUUUGUGGAUUGAAUAAAAGGAAUAAAAGCUGCAGUACCAAGUGUAAAAAAAA